rnacentral:rRNA from 1 species
CAGUCGCCACGGUAAUACGGAGGGUGCAAGCGUUAUCCGGAUUUAUUGGGUUUAAAGGGUCCGUAGGCGGACUUAUAAGUCAGUGGUGAAAGCCUGUCGCUUAACGAUAGAACUGCCAUUGAUACUGUAAGUCUUGAGUAUAUUUGAGGUAGCUGGAAUAAGUAGUGUAGCGGUGAAAUGCAUAGAUAUUACUUAGAACACCAAUUGCGAAGGCAGGUUACCAAGAUAUAACUGACGCUGAGGGACGAAAGCGUGGGUAGCGAACAGGAUUAGAUACCCCCGUAGUCCCUGUCUCUUAUAU